rnacentral:lncRNA from 1 species
CAUGGGGAAGUGCAACAACAUGGUCUCCUGGAAAGAAGAAAUAUCUGGAGAGUCUGACAGGACUCCGAUGGAUGGUGAAAUGGCACAAGAAUCCUACCAGUACUGGAUGGGUCUGCAGGGAAUCUUUCCUGUACAACUCGCCAAAGCCCAUUUUGCUGUUUGGCAGGUCAGUGGGCAAAACAGUCCCAAAAGGAGCAAGGAGGCACAUC